rnacentral:misc_RNA from 1 species
GAUGAAGAACGCAGCGAAAUGCGAUAAGUAAUGUGAAUUGCAGAAUUCAGUGAAUCAUCGAAUCUUUGAACGCACAUUGCGCCCCUUUGUAUUCCGGGGGGCAUGCCUGUUCGAGCGUCAUUAUAACCCUCAAGCCUAGCUUGGUGUUGGAGCAUGCUACCUAAGCAGCUCUUAAAAUCAGUGGCAGUGCCCUUCGGCUCUAAGCGUAGUAACUUCUCUCGCUAUGGAACCCGGAGGGUACGCGCCAGAACCCCCAACUUUCUAUGGUUGACCUCGGAUCAGGUAGGGAUACCCGCUGAACUUAAGCAUAUCAAUAAGCGGAGGA